AAAUUAGCUGGGCGUGGUGGUGCAUGCCUGUAAUCCCAGCUACUCCAGAGGCUGACACAGGACAAUCACUUGAACCCAGGAGGCAGAGGUUGUAGUGAGCCGAGAUGGCAACCCUGCACUCCAACCUGGGUGACAAGAGCGAAACUCCAUCUCAAAAAAAAAAAAAAAAAUCAGUAUCCUUCCUCUUAGUUAUAUUUCUGCCACUUAAUUCAAACAGUCAUAUGCAGGUCGCUUAAUUUAUUUGUGCUUUUGUUUCAUCUUCUACAAGGCCCUCUUAGCUCUAAAACUUGACAGUGGAAUAAGGAAAUGUUUUUCCAAAUCUGCAUUGCCGGUGAGAUCCUCAACAUCAGCAUGUUGAGAUGGACCUCAACCCCACCUCUAACCCUGAAACACACUACUCGAUAUUAUCUUAGGUAUGUUUUAGGGUUUAGUUUGUAAAAUAAUAAUUUAUUUUUGAAGGAAAUAUAAAAUAUUAAAGAGUAAUAAUAGCUAUCAUUUUUUAAGAUUCAAUCUAAAACAAUGGACUCUUUUUUUUUCCAUUUGUGAUGUAGAUAAGCAAGACAAUUUUGAUCAUGAGUGGUGAAAAGAGGAUCAAACUUGACUAUUCUUGCAAUGGCAGUCCAGCAACAAGCCUUUCAUUUACAUUAAAUUAUAACUUUUCAUUCAUUCCUAAACCAAACUUAAAAUUCUGCUUUCCUUUGAGUAGAAGGUAUUUAACUUGUUUUGUUUUUCCUUCAGAAGGAAUUUAAUGCAAACGGAUUGCAGUCAGCACUUUCUGAAUGUUUUCACACAGUAUGCAAAGCUUACAUCAUACCAAGGAGUGGAGAGUUGAAGUUUCCUCCCAGUGACUCCAGUGACAGACCACACCUAGAAAGCGUUUCUCUUCCUGAGUAUUUCAAAAAGAUGUAAAAGAGCUGGGGAGAGUAUGGGAAGAAACAAUACAGGAUUGCCUUUAAUUAAUUAAGAAUUGCCUCCUGAUAAAAGGAAAAAGAAAUUAAUGCUGGAGUAUGGAGGGGUGAUAACCUUAAAGAUUAUAAAUAUUUGUUGUCUAUAAAUACUUAUAAAUUAUAAACACAAUAUAAUUAAAAUUAGAACAUCAGGAAAAGAAUUAAAAUCCUCAGGUUGCAAAACCAAAAUGUUAACCAAAACAAAUACUCAUGAGAUUCAACUUUGUUCACCUAUAGAAUAGUACUUAUUAACAACAUAAAAUCUACCCUGUGAGAUUGUAUGGAAACUCAGAGUGUGGCUUAUGAUAACCAUCUGUUUAUGAUAUUUCAUAUAAAACAAUCUUGUGAUCCUUGUAGUUCCUACCAUUAAUUUUGUAGGAAGGAAUCUCUGACAUUCCUAUGGAGCUAGAACCACAUCUGUCAAUGUUUAAGUACCUAAGCAGAACUUAAGAGGAAAAUGCAUAAAUAUAUUUGGAAAUUGUUUCAUUUUUUUCUAUAUGUAAGAAGACCCUAAAAAGAGCCUUUCAGUAAAGUUUGUGCUUCAGAACUACACUUUCAGCUAUCAAUCAGUUGUGUCAUUAAUUGAGGGUGGAUUAUUUAGGAAACAAAUGCCAACAUGUUUCUGGCAUCUUUGACUACAUUACACCAGCCAAGAGGUUCAUCAAUUUCUUUCAUUCCCCAUUUUGUCACUUCCCUUCGUCUAUCCUCCAAUUAUUUGAGAACACAUCCUUAAGUCAUCAGUAUUCAUGAGUGCUUUAUUAUUUAGCAUUUCAGAGUAUAAUGAGGCUUUGUCAUUUUUUAUGUCUCAGAUAUUAUUGGGGCAUACGUCAUCUAGAUUAAAAUUUGGUUAAGUCUACAGUCAACCAGCUGUCAAACUAGCAGUAUUACUGAUCUUUAAGAGGGUAUUCUUCUUUUUUUUUGUUUUUUUUUUUUUUGAGAUGGAGUCUCACUCUGUCACCAGGCUGAAGUGCAGUAGCACAAUUUCAGCUCACUGCAACCCCCGCCUCCCUGGUUCAAGUGAUUCUUCUGACUCAGCCUCUUGAGUAGCUGGGACUACAGGUGUGUGCCACCACACCCAGCUAAUUUUUGUAUUUUUAGUAGAGACGGGGUUUCACCACGUUGGCCAGGAUAGUCUCGAUCUCCUAAGAUGGUAUUAAUUAGGAUUCACAUCUUUCUGAAAAGAAAAAAAUGGCAUCUCUAGAUCUUUAAAAUCACACUAAAAAUUAAUUCAAUAUUAAGUUCCUUAACAAAUCAAGUUAAAGCAAUAAUGUAAUACAGUAACCAUUUAUGAGCACUUGCAAUGUUUGAAAGCAUCAAUUGCAUUAUUUUAGUUAAUCCAUGCUUGUGUGUAAUUGAGGCUUAGAGAAGGGAAUCACUUGUUCAAGGUCACAGGGCCUCAGCCUGAACCAGAUGCAUCUGAUGUCAGAGUUCUUCAUCUAACAUCUAAGCUCUAUAUAAUAAUGCUUCCCAAUAUUUUAUGAAAAAUAUUACUGUUGAGGGAUAAUUUCUUAGUGAACUUAAAAGUAUGCCCAAGUAAUUAGUAUGCAAUUGAAAAAAGUUAUUUUCUUAAAAUAUAGAAAAUAAUAAUUUUUUUUUUGAGAUGGAGUCUCGCUCUGUCGCCA
rnacentral:lncRNA from 10 species